GAUCUGGUUGACCCUGCCAGACUGGUGGGCUAGUUCGGAAGGCUAAGCCAUGCAACUUGGGCAACCUGUGGAACUCUGUCGUGAGACGGAGGACAGGGAGCAGGCCACUGCUGCGUUAGAUCGUGGUAACGUGUGCGCAAGGAAGGUAUAUCCGCGGGAAACUGCGGGCAAUGCCGAGUGGGCCGGUGGACACAGGAAGUGCCGCCGGCUGUGCGCGUCGAGCACGAACCCAUCAGGUAGACGGUAGUGUCGUGGACUACCGUGCCGGUAACGGGUACGGGGGAUUGGAGUCCGAUUCCGCAGAGAAAGGCUGAGAGACAGCUUUCAGGGCCAAGGCCAGCAGCAGGCGCGAAACCUGUCCAAUGGCGGAUCGCCGAGACGGUUAAAGAGCCUCCUUUGUCCGUUCGCGGAAAAGGAAGAGACGGUCGUAGAGAGACCGACGAACGCAAUCUGUGCUAAACUCUGGUGCCAGCAGGCGCGGUAAUACCAGGACAGCGAGCCCACCAGGUUGUUACUGAGAUUAGAGGUUCCUAGUCGGUACUGCGUAGCAGCGAGGGACCGCGCUUAAACUUGGGUGCUCAAGGAAGAGAGUGCGCGCGCGAUCGCUCGUCCUCUUCGGAGGAGACAAGGAGAAACCCGACGCGAGGAGUAUUGACCGGCGAGAGGUGGAAUUCGUUGACCCGGUCAGGACUACCAGAGGCGAAAGCGCCUCGCGAGGGUUUGCUCGUCGACCAAGAACCAAAGUUGGAGUAUCGAUAACGAUUAGACACCGUUGUAGUUCCAACCACAAACGUUGCCGACAGUCUGUGGGGCGACGCGUCUUCGGACGGGUCGGCUCCGCGGACAGCGCGAAAGCAUAGUCACCGGGUCGCUUGGAGAGUAUGCUGCCAACAGUGAAAUUUAAAGGGAUUGACGGGGUCUCCCACAAGGACUGGAAUCUACGGUUUAAUUUGAUUCAACACAGGACAACUUACCAGGGCAUAGUCGCGUGCGAGGUGCGGACGCAAGGCGUAGCAGAGGGUGCAGACCGGCGCCGAUCGCGGCAAGGCUUGUGCAUGGCCACCCUAAGCUGAUGGAGUGAUCUCCAGGUUAAUUCCGACAAUCAGCGAGACCCGAACACGCAGUUCCGUGAGGCUGAGUGCACUGACGUUCAAACUGUAGGGAGGAUGGUCAAAGGUAGGUCCGUGAUGCAGCCAGAUGUCCUGGGCGACCCGUGGGUUACAAUGGGCUACGAAGGCUGUGUCCUCGCAGGAGUGCGAGGCAGAUCAGCAAUGUAGCCCGUAGUGGGGAUUGUCGACUGGAAAGGUCGGCAUGAACGAGGAAUUCCUUGUAUGCGCGUCUCAACAGAGCGCGCAGAAUAGGUCCCGAAGACUUGUACACACUGUCCGUCGCUAGGGCCAACGCAUUUUGUGGCGAGUAGCCUGGACUUGGCGCAAGCCGAGGAAGGGACGCAAGCUGUGGAUAGCGGAGCACCUAAAAGUCGUAGCAAGGUAUCAGUAGGAGAACCUGCUGAUGGAUCAUG
rnacentral:rRNA from 1 species